rnacentral:lncRNA from 10 species
GUCGGCCCAGGCCCCGGGGCUGGGAGGAGAGGAUGCCUUCGGAGGCGCAGAAUCCGAAAGUAUCUAAUUGUCUUUUUUCGCUGAGCAUACCAAAGAGAGUAACAAGUACAAAGUACUUGAUGUUUAAAGGAAUGCAGAAUAUCCAAUGCUACAAAAGGAACAAUGUAUCUGGAAUAAAAUGAGUGAAGGGGAUAGUGAUACAAGGAGAAGUUGAAAAGAGAUGUGGUUGGAGCUGGAAGCUGUUAUCCUCAGCAAACUAAUGCAGGAGGAGAAAACCAAAUACUGCAAGUUCUCACUUAUAAGUGGGAACUGAAUGAUGAGAACAUUUGGACAUGACAGAACAGGGUGUGGAGACUCACAUCAUGAACUUUCACUCAAAGAACUACUGCAGGAAUAGACCAGAAAAGCUGAGAGAAUCUACAGACCCUUUGAAGGAAGAGGAUUACUCCUGCAGGACCCGGGAGAUAGCCCAAAUACUGUGAGUGCCUAAACUGGGAAAGUGGGAAAGGGGGAUUGUCCACUCCCGAGCACACACUCUCACUGGGGAACCUGAAGGUCCAGAUCGCAGGAGAAGGAUAUGACCUUAACUGGAUCUGAGACAAUUUAGAGAGCUGAGCGAAAUACAGGGGUAGAGGAAACAGUAGGAAAAGCCCUGUGAGCCAUCUGGGUCCCUGGGGAAGCCAGAUCUGACUUGUCUCACAGGAGUCCUGUGGGAGGGCUGCCAGAGGAACUGGGGAAAGACCAAAGGGAAAAGGAAACCUCCAGCUAAACUUUGUAACCACUUGAACCAAACGUGAAGUCUCCCGGCCAAAACUCGAGGGAGGGCAUAAAUCCAGUGCGCAGACUCAACAGGCAAAAAGAUGCAAAAGCCAUGCUUUCUUUCUCAGCUGGCAGGCUGGUAGCCUGGGACAAGUUCUCAGCCCUGCUCACUCACUGCCUGGAAACAAACUUGGUGCUGUCAGGGUGGGGCACGGUGGGAGUGAGACUGGCCUU